AACCUUAUUGCUGGAUUGCAUGGUAUGACCAUAAUUAGCUUUGUAAAAAACUGCCAAACUGUCUUACAAUGUAGCUAUACCAUUUUGCAUUUCCAAGAGCAAG
rnacentral:pre_miRNA from 1 species